AACGCGCGUUGUUUAUAUUUAAUAUCAAUAUUUUUUUUCUGUCCGUACAAACUCGUUUUUCCGAAGUACGGCUGCCUAUACACAUCGACGCCACGCGAUCGUCGGCAAACCCAUAUUUAGGGGAUGCUGGGCGAGUGGCGAUCGGCUUGGAUGACACUUAUAUUAUGUAGGGGUGCAGGGCUGAUGACACUUUCUCGUGGAUUGUUUUUCUUAUAUUUAAUCACAAAAAUGUAACUUAUUAUGUAUACGCGAUCCACGGACAGCACGUAACAUAACUACUUUAUGGACUUCACCUGCAAUGUGUCCGGCUGCAUGCACAUGUUAUAUAAUAUGCUGGAAUGUCGGAUAAAUAAACUAGGUAUCUAUUCCAACUACAAACUAGCGCCGCAAUCACAAUGUUGAAGUCUCUAUGAAAAUAUUUUAGAAGACUUCGCACCGUAAGCGUACAUAGAGUGUGGCUCAACAACAAUCUAACUUGUUGAAAAUUAAACUCUCAAACCACUGUGUACCGAUGAGAUGUGGUAUGUGGACACGUGGGUUCUUGACGUUCCUGUACACAAGAAAUCGAUUUUGAACACAUCAUUGGAAAUAGGUACAAAGACAAAAUAAAUUUGUUACAACACGGUGCGAAAUACAGAAACCUGUAAACAUAUACGAAGCACGCGACAAGUUUUAAACAAAGUGUGGUGAUAGUGCGAUGGCAAGACAGGAGGAGCCGAAAUCGACUAGUUUUAAGACGCGGCCGCCCAAACGUCUGGACGGCUAUAUAAGAACGCAUCCGGCUCGAUGACCUACAUCCGGGAUCGCCGUCGGCUUGUACCAACACGCGCAUCUCUUACGAACAGCCCAAUAAAAUUCGACCAGUUGAAUUUGUCGUGGCCACUUUUCCCCCUCUCUUUUUCUCUCUCAUCCCCCCCUCUUUAUUAUUCUUUUUUUCUUUCUCUGUUCAUAUUUUUA